rnacentral:rRNA from 1 species
AAAACAUAGCCCCUUGUUAUACUAUAAGGGGUAUCGCCUGCCCAAUGGAAAUUCUCUCAAUGGCCGCGGUAUCUUGACCGUGCAAAGGUAGCAUAAUCAUUUGUCUCUUAAAUGGGGACCUGUAUGAAUGGCAUUACAUUUUCUAACUGUCUCCUCUUCCCUCCUUAUAAACUUCUACUAACGUGAAGAAGCGUUAAUAAAAAAGAAAGACGAGAAGACCCUGUCGAGCUUAAACUACUUAGAGAAUAUAUAAAUCCUUUAUAAGAACAUUUUUUUCUCAAAAGAAGUUUUGGUUGGGGCAACCAUGGAGUACAAAAACCCUCCAGCAAAAUAAAAAGAUAAUUCUAUCACAUAUAUUACAAAUUAGACCCAGAAAUACUGGUAAACAGAAAUAGUUACCGCAGGGAUAACAGCGUCAUCUCCUUUAAGAGUUCACAUUGACAAGGAGGAUUGCGACCUCGAUGUUGGAUUGGGGCUACCCAGGGGUGCAGCCGCUCCUAAGGU